rnacentral:rRNA from 1 species
GGUUAAGCGACUAAGCGUACACGGUGGAUGCCCUGGCAGUCAGAGGCGAUGAAGGACGUGCUAAUCUGCGAUAAGCGCCGGUAAGGUGAUAUGAACCGUUAUAACCGGCGAUUUCCGAAUGGGGAAACCCAGUGUGACUCGUCACACUAUCAUUAACUGAAUCCAUAGGUUAAUGAGGCGAACCGGGGGAACUGAAACAUCUAAGUACCCCGAGGAAAAGAAAUCAACCGAGAUUCCCCCAGUAGCGGCGAGCGAACGGGGAGGAGCCCAGAGCCUGAAUCAGCAUGUGUGUUAGUGGAAGCGUCUGGAA